UACUACAAAGAACUUCUCCUGACCAACGAAAAUUUGAGAAAUUAUGGGCUUCACCCACAAUCGAAAGAGACAUGUCAUCUCGUCCGGCUUCCAGAUUUGCCAACAAACGUAAACAUCUCUGCAAAACUGGUGAAAUGGGUUCUCAACCCCUUACUUCUCGCCCUCAAGCCGAAUAGUCGAGCAUAUUUAAUGUAGUGACCAAACAAAAUAUGACUACUCAGACCGAACAACACGUGGCUGCAACAACCAGACAAAGUGCAUCAGGCCAUAGUAAGUCAGUCUUUAUAGGAGGGAACAAAAGACCGAGAUAAAAGUUGUGUUAUCACUCCAUCUCCUGCCAUUAUAGUCCAGUCAGGGACCGUUCGGUAUGACAUUUCACUGACAGCCCCCAGCAUCCCACAUGGAAUUAAUGAGACUCAAUCGAAGACUCCUGAAAAAGACAAGGGUAAAAGUAUUACAGAGGAAGACUGCCAUGAAUCGGGCUCUCUUGCGAACAAUAGCCUUCAUCUCAAUCUCCCUUUUGUCACGAAAGUGCUCAGAGAAGAAGUCCUCAAAGCGGUAGAUAAAGUUUCCUGAACAUUCAGAAGAAAAGCCACUAGUCGGAUUCAAGGUGUUGAACACACCUCAAUGACAAAUUACCUCAACCAGAUGCUUAGUGGAGUCGAUGGAGCCUUUCCUCUCACAUGUCAUGGAGCUGCUGUUGUGAGCUUCGGGACUGCUGAGGUGCAAUGUCAAAUGUUUUCAAGAUGAGAUUCGACUGUUAGAAGCUGCAAAACGGGCUGCAACCUAUUCUGCCAAGCUAAAAGAAACACGAGAGGGCCAAUAUACCAACUAAAACAGAACCAAGCCAAAUUUGAACAAUCGAAACUCGUCAUUGUUAGGCAUUCCUCCAUUCUUCAAGCAAAGCUAAAUUUAAAAAUAGAGCCUCGCUGUUCUGCUCUUCAUCAAAGAGUCUUUCUACCCGCUCAGUUGGUAUGCCGAUAUCAAUAGGAACCAUUGCUUUUGAGUUGAAUGCUAUCACAUGAGGAUUUCAUUUCUCAAACCCCAGGGUCUAGUUCGAUAGGACUACAAGACACUUGACAACUUUUCCUCCUUUUUGACCCUUUAGGUUUUCGGGCGUUAGCUCAGUCCUAUCUCUAAAUUGUAUUAAUGGCUUCCACCUACCUAUUUGCCUGGGG